GACGAACGCUGGCGGCGUGCCUAAUACAUGCAAGUUGAGCGAUGAAGAUUGGUGCUUGCACCAAUUUGCAGAGCAGCGAACGGGUGAGUAACGCGUGGGGAAUCUGCCUUUGAGCGGGGGACAACAUUUGGAAACGAAUGCUAAUACCGCAUAACAACUUUAAACAUAAGUUUUAAGUUUGAAAGAUGCAAUUGCAUCACUCAAAGAUGAUCCCGCGUUGUAUUAGCUAGUUGGUGAGGUAAAGGCUCACCAAGGCGAUGAUACAUAGCCGACCUGAGAGGGUGAUCGGCCACAUUGGGACUGAGACACGGCCCAAACUCCUACGGGAGGCAGCAGUAGGGAAUCUUCGGCAAUGGACGAAAGUCUGGCCGAGCAACGCCGCGUGAGUGAAGAAGGUUGUCGGAUCGUAAAACUCUGUUGGUAGAGAAGAACGUUGGUGAGAGUGGAAAGCUCAUCAAGUGACGGUAACUACCCAGAAAGGGACGGCUAACUACGUG
rnacentral:rRNA from 1 species